rnacentral:rRNA from 1 species
GUGGGGAAUAUUGCGCAAUGGCCGAAAGGCUGACGCAGCGACGCCGCGUGGGGGAUGAAGCAUUUCGGUGUGUAAACCCCUGUUGCCCGGGACUAACAAGCGAUUUCGAUCGCUCUGACGGUACCGGGUGAGGAAGCACCGGCUAACUCCGUGCCAGCAGCCGCGGUAAUACGGAGGGUGCGAGCGUUGUCCGGAAUCACUGGGCGUAAAGGGCGCGUAGGCGGUGACUUAAGCGUGUGGUGAAAGCCCGGGGCUCAACCCCGGGUCUGCCGUGCGAACUGGGUCACUCGAGCACUGUAGAGGCAGGUGGAAUUCCGGGUGUAGCGGUGGAAUGCGUAGAGAUCCGGAAGAACACCGGUGGCGAAGGCGGCCUGCUGGGCAGUAGCUGACGCUGAGGCGCGACAGCGUGGGGAGCAAACAGGAUUAGAUACCCCAGUAGUCC